rnacentral:rRNA from 1 species
CCCUUAGAUGUUCUGGGCUGCACGCGCGCUACACUGAUGCGCUCAACGAGUUUAUGACCUUGCCCGGAAGGGUUGGGUAAUCUUCUUAAAACGCAUCGUGAUGGGGAUAGAUUAUUGCAAUUAUUAAUCUUCAACGAGGAAUUCCUAGUAAGCGCGAGUCAUCAGCUCGUGCUGAUUACGUCCCUGCCCUUUGUACACACCGCCCGUCGCUCCUACCGAUUGGGUGAUCCGGUGAAUAAUUCGGACUGCAGCAGUGUUCGGUCACGAACGUUGCAGCGGAAAGUUUAGUGAACCUUAUCACUUAGAGGAAGGAGAAGUCGUAACA